rnacentral:pre_miRNA from 1 species
AGUGAGAUUGCUGAGUCAUAUGGUAAGCGCAUGUUUAACUUUACAAGAAAUCACUAAACUGUUCCCCAGGGUGGCUGUACCAUUUUGUAUUCUCAUUAGCAAU